UUUAGAUAAUUGAUCAUCAGAAUGGCAGAAACCCCAUGUCAGCCCACGUGUCUCCGGGGACAGAGCUGGCUCUGUGGGCAUCUUCCAAGGCCUGCGUGCCCUGCCCCGUACCAGUGCACUCAGGAGCUGUGUCCAUGCAGAGCUAUGAGCACUGGUGACACUCAGCCCAUCCAUAUGUCUGUCCAGGUCAUGUGUCCGAUUCCUCAGCAGGAACCAUAACUGCAGACACCAACACUCCUCUGAACCUCACAGUCAUUCAUGUGGUAUCAGUUACUGUCACCCUCCUGCUGUCUGCAGCCACCUUCUGGACCAUUAGGAAAGGUGCCUGCCGGGAGAGAUGCCGAAGGUGAGAAGGAAGGCUGGGAGGGGACGAUUGAGAGCAUUUGGGAACUUGGGGAAGUCCUUUUGCAGGGCAGCAUUAUCUGUGAGUUCCCCCAUAACAGGAAGGGACUGCCAUGGUGUUGGAGAAGGAAGGAUUUUCUCAUGGUAACAUUACUGACAGCACGUGGAUGCCUGGAG